GCCUUCGUGGUGUAAUGGUCAGCACGCUCGACCCGUAAACGAGAGGUCCGUGGUUCUAUUCCUGGCAAAAGCG
rfam:Stegodyphus mimosarum contig86345, whole genome shotgun sequence.